AUAAACAUUCAGAUUUCGGUUCGA
rnacentral:siRNA from 1 species